AUACGUAGGGAGCGAGCGUUAUCCGGAAUUAUUGGGUGUAAAGGGUGCGUAGGCGGGAUAUAAAGUCAGAUGUGAAAUACCAAGGCUUAACCUCGGGGCUGCAUUCAAAACUGUUGCUCUUGAGUGCAGUAGAGGCAAGCGGAAUUCCCGGUGUAGCGGUGAAAUGCGCAGAGAUCGGGAGGAACACCAGUGGCGAAGGCGGCUUGCUGGGCUGUUACUGACGCUGAGGCACGAAAGCAUGGGUAGCAAACAGGAUUAGAUACCCUGGUAGUCCAUGCUGUAAACGAUGAUUACUAGGUGUGGGUGGACUGACCCCAUCCGUGCCGGAGUUAACACAUUAAGUAAUCCACCUGGGGAGUACGGCCGCAAGGUUGAAACUCAAAUGAAUUGGCGGGG
rnacentral:rRNA from 1 species